GAGAAAACUCGCAAGGACUGCUAAUCCACAUCCCCGUACUUAAAACUACGGUUUUCUCA
rnacentral:tRNA from 1 species